rnacentral:rRNA from 1 species
ACACAAAAGCGCAUGUGCUGUGAGCUCGAUGAGUAGGGCGGGACACGUGGUAUCCUGUCUGAAUAUGGGGGGACCAUCCUCCAAGGCUAAAUACUCCUGACUGACCGAUAGUGAACCAGUACCGUGAGGGAAAGGCGAAAAGAACCCCGGCGAGGGGAGUGAAAAAGAACCUGAAACCGUGUACGUACAAGCAGUGGGAGCCCCACCACUAAGCCAGUGGUGAACUCCACAUACGCAUCCUUUGCUGAGGAUACGGUUAACGGAGCGCAAGCGACGUUCAACCGCAAAAGAAGCAGAGGGGGCUUAGUGGUGGGGUGACUGCGUACCUUUUGUAUAAUGGGUCAGCGACUUAUAUUCUGUAGCAAGGUUAACCGAAUAGGGGAGCCGGAGGGAAACCGAGUCUUAAUUGGGCGUUAAGUUGCAGGGUAUAGACCCGAAACCCGGUGAUCUAGCCAUGGGCAGGUUGAAGGUUGGGUAACACUAACUGGAGGACCGAACCGACUAAUGUUGAAAAAUUAGCGGAUGACCUGUGGCUGGGGGUGAAAGGCCAAUCAAACCGGGAGAUAGCUGGUUCUCCCCGAAAGCUAUUUAGGUAGCGCCUCGUGAAUUCAUCUCCGGGGGUAGAGCACUGUUUCGGCUAGGGGGCCAUCCCGGCUUACCAACCCGAUGCAAACUGCGAAUACCGGAGAAUGUUAUCACGGGAGACACACGGCGGGUGCUAACGUCCGUCGUGAAGAGGGAAACAACCCAGACCGCCAGCUAAGGUCCCAAAGUCAUGGUUAAGUGGGAAACGAUGUGGGAAGGCCCAGACAGCCAGGAUGUUGGCUUAGAAGCAGCCAUCAUUUAAAGAAAGCGUAAUAGCUCACUGGUCGAGUCGGCCUGCGCGGAAGAUGUAACGGGGCUAAACCAUGCACCGAAGCUGCGGCAGCGACGCUGAUGCGUUGUUGGGUAGGGGAGCGUUCUGUAAGCCUGCGAAGGUGGCCUGUGAGGGUUGCUGGAGGUAUCAGAAGUGCGAAUGCUGACAUAAGUAACGAUAAAGCGGGUGAAAAGCCCGCUCGCCGGAAGACCAAGGGUUCCUGUCCAACGUUAAUCGGGGCAGGGUGAGUCGACCCCUAAGGCGAGGCCGAAAGGCGUAGUCGAUGGGAAACGGGUUAAUAUUCCCGUACUUGGUGUUACUGCGAAGGGGGGACGGAGAAGGCUAUGUUGGCCGGGCGACGGUUGUCCCGGUUUAAGCGUGUAGGUGUGUGUUCCAGGUAAAUCCGGUU